rnacentral:rRNA from 1 species
GAUGAACGCUGGCGGUGUGCCUAACACAUGCAAGUCGAGCGACCAGACGAGAAGCUUGCUCUUCUGACGUUAGCGACGGACGGGCGAGUAACACGUGGAUAACCAUCUUCUUAGACUGGGAUGAUUACGGGAAACCGCUUACACUAACGGCUCAUACAUUGUACCGCAUAGUUCAAUAGUGCUACACGCUUUUCCCGUUUCUAUUAGAUGAUUCCGCGUCGCAUUAGCUAGUUGGUAAGGUAACGGCUUACCAAGGCGACGAUGCGUAGCCGACCUGAGAGGGUGAUCAGCCACACUGGAACUGAGACACGGUCCAGACUCCUACGGGAGGCAGCAGUAGGGAAUAUUCGACAAAGGGCGAAAGCCUGACGGAGCAAUACCGCGUGAGUGAUGAAGGUCUUCGGGUCGUAAAGCUCUGUUAUUAGGGAAGAAAAAAUGUAUAAGAAUCUCUGCACGUUUUGACGGUACCUAAACAAAAAGCCACGGCUAACUUCGUG